rnacentral:rRNA from 1 species
UUCCUACGGGAGGCAGCAGUGGGGAAUCUUGCGCAAUGGGCGAAAGCCUGACGCAGCCAUGCCGCGUGAAUGAUGAAGGUCUUAGGAUUGUAAAAUUCUUUCACCGGGGACGAUAAUGACGGUACCCGGAGAAGAAGCCCCGGCUAACUUCGUGCCAGCAGCCGCGGUAAUACGAAGGGGGCUAGCGUUGCUCGGAAUUACUGGGCGUAAAGGGCGCGUAGGCGGAUCGUUAAGUCAGGGGUGAAAUCCCGGGGCUCAACCUCGGAACUGCCCUUGAUACUGGCGAUCUUGAGUAUGAGAGAGGUAUGUGGAACUCCGAGUGUAGAGGUGAAAUUCGUAGAUAUUCGGAAGAACACCAGUGGCGAAGGCGACAUACUGGCUCAUUACUGACGCUGAGGCGCGAAAGCGUGGGGAGCAAACAGGAUUAGAUACCCCUGUAGUCCGA